rnacentral:rRNA from 1 species
GAUGAACGCUGGCGGCGUGCCUAAUACAUGCAAGUCGAGCGAACAGACGAGGAGCUUGCUCCUUUGACGUUAGCGGCGGACGGGUGAGUAACACGUGGGUAACCUACCUAUAAGACUGGGAUAACUUCGGGAAACCGGAGCUAAUACCGGAUAAUAUUUCGAACCGCAUGGUUCGAUAGUGAAAGAUGGCUUUGCUAUCACUUAUAGAUGGACCUGCGCCGUAUUAGCUAGUUGGUAAGGUAACGGCUUACCAAGGCAACGAUACGUAGCCGACCUGAGAGGGUGAUCGGCCACACUGGAACUGAGACACGGUCCAGACUCCUACGGGAGGCAGCAGUAGGGAAUCUUCCGCAAUGGGCGAAAGCCUGACGGAGCAACGCUGCGUGAGUGAUGAAGGUCUUCGGAUCGUAAAACUCUGUUAUUAGGGAAGAACAAACGUGUAAGUAACUGUGCACGUCUUGACGGUACCUAAUCAGAAAGCCACGGCUAACUACGUG